GACGAACGCUGGCGGCGUGCUUAACACAUGCAAGUCGAACGGAAAGGCCUUUUCGGAGGUACUCGAGUGGCGAACGGGUGAGUAACACGUGGGUGAUCUGCCCUGCACUCUGGGAUAAGCCUGGGAAACUGGGUCUAAUACCGGAUAGGACCGCACUUUAGUGUGUGUGGUGGAAAGUUUUUUCGGUGUAGGAUGAGCCCGCGGCCUAUCAGCUUGUUGGUGGGGUAAUGGCCUACCAAGGCGGCGACGGGUAGCCGGACUGAGAGGUUGGUCGGCCACAUUGGGACUGAGAUACGACCCAGACUCCUACGGGAGGCAGCAGUGGGGAAUAUUGCACAAUGGGCGCAAGCCUGAUGCAGCGACGCCGCGUGGGGGAUGACGGCCUUCGGGUUGUAAACUCCUUUCGCCAGGGACGAAGCGUUUUGUGACGGUACCUGGAGAAGAAGCACCGGCUAACUACGUG
rnacentral:rRNA from 1 species